ACGAACGCUGGCGGCGCGCCUAACACAUGCAAGUCGAACGGAGCUUAGAGAGCUUGCUUUUUAAGCUUAGUGGCGAACGGGUGAGUAACGCGUGAGUAACCUGCCCUAGAGUGGGGGACAACAGUUGGAAACGACUGCUAAUACCGCAUAAGCCCACGGUGCCGCAUGGUACUGAGGGAAAAGGAUUUAUUCGCUUUAGGAUGGACUCGCGUCCAAUUAGCUAGUUGGUGAGGUAACGGCCCACCAAGGCGACGAUUGGUAGCCGGACUGAGAGGUUGAACGGCCACAUUGGGACUGAGACACGGCCCAGACUCCUACGGGAGGCAGCAGUGGGGGAUAUUGCACAAUGGGGGAAACCCUGAUGCAGCGACGCCGCGUGGAGGAAGAAGGUUUUCGGAUUGUAAACUCCUGUCGUUAGGGACGAUAAUGACGGUACCUAACAAGAAAGCACCGGCUAACUACGUGCCAGCAGCCGCGGUAAAACGUAGGGUGCAAGCGUUGUCCGGAAUUACUGGGUGUAAAGGGAGCGCAGGCGGGAAGACAAGUUGGAAGUGAAAACCAUGGGCUCAACCCAUGAAUUGCUUUCAAAACUGUUUUUCUUGAGUAGUGCAGAGGUAGAUGGAAUUCCCGGUGUAGCGGUGGAAUGCGUAGAUAUCGGGAGGAACACCAGUGGCGAAGGCGGUCUACUGGGCACCAACUGGCGCUGAGGCUCGAAAGCAUGGGUAGCAAACAGGAUUAGAUACCCUGGUAGUCCAUGCCGUAAACGAUGAUUACUAGGUGUUGGGGGAUUGACCCCCUCAGUGCCGCAGUUAACACAAUAAGUAAUCCACCUGGGGAGUACGACCGCAAGGUUGAAACUCAAAGGAAUUGACGGGGGCCCGCACAAGCAGUGGAGUAUGUGGUUUAAUUCGAAGCAACGCGAAGAACCUUACCAGGUCUUGACAUCCUCUGACCUCCCUGGAGACAGGGCCUUCCCCUUCGGGGGACAGAGUGACAGGUGGUGCAUGGUUGUCGUCAGCUCGUGUCGUGAGAUGUUGGGUUAAGUCCCGCAACGAGCGCAACCCUUAUUGCCAGUUACUACGUUAAGAGGACUCUGGCGAGACUGCCGUUGACAAAACGGAGGAAGGUGGGGAUGACGUCAAAUCAUCAUGCCCUUUAUGACCUGGGCUACACACGUACUACAAUGGCGUUAAACAAAGAGAAGCAAGACCGCGAGGUGGAGCAAAACUCAAAAACAACGUCUCAGUUCAGAUUGCAGGCUGCAACUCGCCUGCAUGAAGUCGGAAUUGCUAGUAAUCGCGGAUCAGCAUGCCGCGGUGAAUACGUUCCCGGGCCUUGUACACACCGCCCGUCACACCAUGAGAGCCGGGGGGACCCGAAGUCGAUAGUCUAACCGCAAGGAGGACGUCGCCGAAGGUAAAACUGGUGAUUGGGGUG
rnacentral:rRNA from 1 species